rnacentral:rRNA from 1 species
AACGAACGCUGGCGGCAUGCCUAACACAUGCAAGUCGAACGAGACCUUCGGGUCUAGUGGCGCAUGGGUGCGUAACGCGUGGGAACCUGCCCUUAGUUUCGGAAUAACUCCCCGAAAAGGGAGCUAAUACCGGAUAAUUUCUUCGGACCAAAGAUUGAUUGCCUUUGGAUGGGCCCGCGUUGGCUUGGCUAGUUGGUAGGGUAAAAGCCUACCAAGGCGACGAUCCAUAACUGGUCUGAGAGGCUGAUCAGCCACACUGGGACUGAGACACGGCCCAGACUACUACGGGAGGCAGCAGUGGCGAAUACUGGCAAAUGGGCGAAAGCAUGAUCCAGCAAUGACGCGUGAGUGAUGAAGGCUUUAGGGUUGUAAAGCUAUUUUACCCGGGAUGAUAAUGACAGUACCGGGAGAAUAAGCUCCGGCUAACUCCGUG